rnacentral:rRNA from 1 species
CAAUAAGUUAAUACCUUAUUGCCGUGAUGUUACCUGCAGAAUAAGCACCGGCUAAUUCCGUGCCAGCAGCCGCGGUAAUACGGAAGGUGCAAGCGUUAAUCGGAAUUACUGGGCGUAAAGCGCGCGUAGGUGGUUUGUUAAGUUGGAUGUGAAAGCCCUGGGCUCAACCUAGGAACUGCAUCCAAAACUAACUCACUAGAGUACGAUAGAGGGAGGUAGAAUUCAUAGUGUAGCGGUGGAAUGCGUAGAUAUUAUGAAGAAUACCAGUGGCGAAGGCGGCCUCCUGGAUCUGUACUGACACUAAGGUGCGAAAGCGUGGGUAGCGAACAGGAUUAGAUACCCUGGUAGUCCACGCCGUAAACGAUGACAACUAGCUGUUGGGAGACAAUGUCUUUCAGUGGCGCAGCUAACGUUUUAAGUUGUCCGCCUGGGGAGUACGGCCGCAAGGCUAAAACUCAAAUGAAUUGACGGGGACCCGCACAAGCGGUGGAGCAUGUGGUUUAAUUCGAUGCAACGCGAAAAACCUUACCUACUCUUGACAUACUUGGAAGCUCUUGUAAUGAGAGUGUGCCUUUUGGAGCCAAGAUACAGGUGCUGCAUGGCUGUCGUCAGCUCGUGUCGUGAGAUGUUCCGUUAAGUCGGAUAACGAGCGCAACCCUUACCCUUAUUUGCCAGCGAUUCGGUCGGGAACUAUAAGGGGACUGCCGGUGAUAAACCGGAGGAAGGUGAGGACGACGUCAAGUCAUCAUGGCCCUUACGAGUAGGGCUACACACGUGCUACAAUGGGGAAUACAGACGGACGCUAAGCCGCGAGGUGGUGCUAAUCCUAUAAAGUUCUUCGUAGUCCGGAUUGGAGUCUGCAACUCGACUCCAUGAAGUCGGAAUCGCUAGUAAUCGCGAAUCAGCAUGUCGCGGUGAAUACGU